GUGUGUCUCUCUCCCAUCCCCUCAGUAUAACUCUAUCCCAUCCCCUCAGUAUGUCUCUCUCUCCCAUCCCUUCAAUGUGUCUCUCUCCCAUCCCCUCAAUGUGUCUCUAUCCCAUCCCCUCAGUAUGUCUCUCUCCCAUCCCCUCAGUAUAACUCUAUCCCAUCCCCUCAGUGUGUCUCUCUCCCAUCCCCUCAGUAUGUCUCUCUCCCAUCCCCUCAGUGUGUCUCUCUCCCAUCCCCUCAGUGUGUCUCUCUCCCAUCCCCUCAGUGUGUCUCUCUCCCAUCCCCUCAGUAUGUCUCUCUCCCAUCCCCUCAGUAUGUCUCUCUC